rnacentral:lncRNA from 1 species
ACAGAUGAUCAGUUUUAGACUGGUGUGCUGCUGAAUUCAGCCAACUCGCUCAUCAUGAUUCUAACAGAUUUUUCUGCUCUUCGGACCACUGGGAACCUUAUGAACCAGUUAGUUCUGCCCUCCUUCUUAUGACAAAGUGCCAAUACUGUCAACAUCCAGGAAACCAAGCACCAGAAUCACUUGCUACUGCAAUGAGCUUUCUUUUAGAAUAUAAAAUAAGGAAAAAGAAAAUGUCUCUAAAAAUAAUAAUUUUUCAUUGUCUUCAAGUUUUAAAAGCUCUGAAAUUUUCUGGCAAAAAUGUCUAGCCAAAGGUAGGGAUAUUCUUCAUCUUUAUCUACGAAAUAAUUCUCCCCCACCUCUUUCUCUCUCCUCUCUCUCCUCCCAACCCUGCCUCACUGAGGAGCAGGAUCAGGGGUUUAUUUCUCCCUUGUAUAGACAACCUCAUAACUUCAGAACUAGAAAAGACCAACUCAUUUCAAAAACAAAGAAAAUGGAAUCCAAUGAUUUGGACAAAAUUUUAAAGCCAGGGAAUGGUUGAAUUGAUCUCUAGUUCCAAGUUCCUAGCUUAUAAUCUAGUGAUUUUAUUAAUACACCCCCUAUUGUCCCUGCCUAUAUUAUAUUAUACUUUAGCUUACAUGUUUAGGAAUUAGAAUUUGACCAAAUUGAUCAAAUAAAUAGAAUGUCACUUUCAUUAAAGACAGAAUUUUUUUCUGUUUUGUUCAUGAUCCUAUCCUCAAUACCUAAAACAGUGCCUGGCAUAUCAUAUGUGCUUCAAACAUAAGCAUAGAAGGGUGUAAUGAUGGUCAGAUUUGUGCAUUGAUGAGUGAUGUUAUAGUUAAGCUGUUCUCUAUUUUGCCAAAGAUAAGCCAGAAAGGAGUAUAAAUUCUACUGGGAAAAAACAGUUAACUUGAUACAAAUAAAUUCAGAAGAAAAUAUACAGAGUAGGUAAUAGUGGGGAUACCAUUUGGCUACUCAAAUUUAAGCGAGCUUGACAAAAUAAUCAGAAGGUAUCAUGAAAUGAUUAAAACAAGAAAAUAGUGAUUAAAAUGAGACUAAGAAUCACAGCAACUGCCAAAAUGUGUUUUUUACAUAUUUAUUUUGAGAAAGAAGGCUGUAAGACAUACAUAAGCUUCCCUUGCCUACCUAUUAUUUUUAUAAGGUAAAUACUGAAGGUAUAUUUUCAUUUGGAAACAGUCUAACCAGGGAAGUCAAACCCCUUGCUUGACAUUAAAGGAUGUCAGAAGAAUGACUGGAAGAAAAGCAAAGGCGUGGUCUCACUCUAAGUCCUAUUCUGUUUGCGUGAAGACCACACUGCUUCUGGUUUGGUUUAAUCAAAAUAAUAAAAUCAGUCAAUAGGCCACUAGCUGGGCUUUCAACACUAUUUUAGGCAGAAUAAAGAAAGCACAUAAUCAUCUCUGUUUUUGACAGUCUUCACAAAUGAGAAAAGAAAUUCAAAGCUUUGGUUUCAUUGAUAUUUUAAACAUGACUGUUUAAGGUCACACCUUAGUUGCUGAGCAAUAGACGGAGUAUAAUUGAAAACAAUGACUGACUCUGCAAAACCCACAGAAAAGAUCCAGGGUGCACUGGAGUCAGAUGUGAGCCAGAGAAAUCGCUGCGAGCUGCUACCCAGGAUGACAGAGAGUGACACAAAGCUGAAGGCUAGCUUCUGCCUCAGGUUCCCAUACACACUGUCUUUUGAAAACAACCUGGGCUUCAGUGGCACUUCUGAAACCAGACAUUAUUUUUUUUUCUAUAGAAUUAAUUUAUCCUCAACCUCAUGAAUCACAAAAACACAUUUUUUACGUGAACACAGUCAUGAAGUAUAAUUCACUUUCUUUGUUGCUGUCCAGAAAUGCCCUUCAAAGCACUUUGGACACAAUUGUCAAACAGGCAGGAUUUACUCUAUUUGUGAUGUUUUUGCUCAAAAGUUGGAAUUUUCUUUGUGUUUUCCUUUACCCCUCUUCUGCAACCUUGGUGCCCUCCUCAGUCCCACACCCCCACACAAAGACACUCCUUAAUUGUAUUACUGUUAGGCUGACCUCCAACCCCAACUAAAAUGAGGACAAGGCUAGUUUUGUGUUUCGUGGGAUAACAAUUUAUGAGCAAUUAAAAAUGAAGGGACACAAAGCAUUCAUCACAGUCUCAGCUAGACAGGCAGCUGAGGUCAAAGGCUCUAGCAAUGAAGUGUGCACAAUAUAUUUUUAUUUCUGUUUUCACUAAGAAGGGAACGGGUUAGCUAAAAAUUAUGGCAGGCAGCCUCCAGUUCAAAAUAGGUGCACUUAAUCUUUUCAGACAGUCCAUGCUUGGCCAGAUAGGUUAUAACAGCACAUGCAAAGACAUAUACAAACACACAUACACACACACACAAACACACACUCACUCACAACCUGAGUACCAAACAGCAUGAUGUAGGAAAAUGGAACAUUUUCUAGUUCAAUUCACAUACAAUUUCUAAAAGAAAAAUGUGCUAAAUAAAUACUCAUUAUGAUUUUAUAGCCAAGUACACAAUAUUUCUCUCCUCUCGCCCGUAUUAUGGAAAACAAAAUAGGAGAUUUUAAGGUAUAAUUCCUCUUGGCACAUUGCUCAAUCUGUUUGGAAGAACAUGAGAGUGUUAUAAUUUUAUUUUCCUGGAGCAUCAGUGGUCUAUUACAGGAAAGUUGAGAUUAAUGUCUUGCCUGCUGCGUUUCAGUCAGAGUUACAUAUCAAAGCACUACAGAAACCGCCUUUCAAUGUAAUGCCCUUGGUUUUGAAAAUUUGGUUUUCCUGAAACACUACAGUAUCCAAAUCUGACACUCAUCUUCUGAUUUAAGGUCUUGGCCUGGCAUGAAAAGUCCUGGUGAAUUAAUGACUAGUUAUGCCAUUAAUCGACAUUAGCAUUGUUUUAUAUUUUCCAAUUUUCGAUAGAAAAAGAAGGGCUGAUAUCAAGCAGAUCAUCAGUUUUCAUUCUGUGUAUAGAUUUGCUCUGCUAACCAAUAUGCUGUAAUGUCAGAAUAAACAAGAACCAAAUGGUAAUGGUUGUCAUUCUUUGAUGCUACAAUGGAGAUGCCAGAUACACAUGUAAAAUUCUUCUGAUGAGAGGAGUAGGAAGUUUCUGAUCCCCAGUUGAGAAGGCCUUUUACUUUCCUUAGUAAUUUUCUAUUAGAACAGCAGAGUAAACUUCGAAAAGGAAUUCAAUUUGCACCUAAAAACAUCACUGUUAGGAGAUAGAGAUUAAAAGCUAUUAAUAGCUAACUCAGAUUAUUGCAACUUUUCUCUCAGAAAAUUUCAAGGUCCUCAUCAGUUCUGAUAUCACCAAUCUGUGUGUC